rnacentral:rRNA from 1 species
AACGAACGCUGGCGGCAUGCCUAACACAUGCAAGUCGAACGAGACCUUCGGGUCUAGUGGCGCACGGGUGCGUAACGCGUGGGAACCUUCCCUUAGGUUCGGAAUAACUCCCCGAAAGGGGUUCUAAUACCGGAUAAUGUCUUCGGACCAAAGAUUUAUCGCCUUUGGAUGGGCCCGCUUUGGAUUAGCUUGUUGGUAGGGUAAAAGCCUACCAAGGCGACGAUCCAUAGAUGGUCUGAGAGGAUGAUCAGCCACACUGGGACUGAGACACGGCCCAGACUACUACGGGAGGCAGCAGUGGGGAAUAUUGGAAAAUGGGAGAAAGCCUGAUACAGCAAUGCCGCGUGAGUGAUGAAGGCCUUAGGGUUGUAAAGCUCUUUUACCCGGGAUGAUAAUGACAGUACCGGGAGAAUAAGCUCCGGCUAACUCCGUG